rnacentral:rRNA from 1 species
CCUACGGGUGGCAGCAGUGAGGAAUAUUGGUCAAUGGGCGCGAGCCUGAACCAGCCAAGUCGCGUGAGGGAAGACGGUCCUAUGGAUUGUAAACCUCUUUUGUCGGGGAGCAAAAGACGCCACGCGUGGCGUUCCGAGAGUACCCGAAGAAAAAGCAUCGGCUAACUCCGUGCCAGCAGCCGCGGUAAGACGGAGGAUGCGAGCGUUAUCCGGUUGUAUUGGGUUUAAAGGGUGCGCCGGCGGACGAUCAAGUCGGCGGUUAAAUGGAGAGGCUCCACCACUUCGAGCCGUUGAAACUGGUUUUCUGGAGUGAGUGAGACGUAUGCGGAAUGCGUGGUGUAGCGGUGAAAUGCAUCGAUAUCACGCAGAACUCCGCUUGCGCCGGCAGCAUCCCGUCGCUCAACUGACGCUCAUGCACGCAAGUGUGGGUAUCGAACAGGAUUAGAUACCCUUGUAGUC